rnacentral:misc_RNA from 1 species
AAAAAAUAAUCGCUUAGGAUAGGCGUUCACACGAAUAACUUGCUUUUACCUAAAUCAUUUCUUUACAGAUUUGAGAUUAAGGAGCGUUCUUUAACAUUUUUAUAAGUUCAAUCAAGUCACAUCAUAGUGUCUUAGUUUUUUAAUUUAGAUAUGAAUGAUGUGCAAUGUCACCAAACCCGUCAUGUUUUAGAACAUAAUUUGGUGUACAUACUGCAAAGUAAUUUUGGCGAAUGACAUAGAUACUUGAAGAACAUUAAUCAUUAAGUUGUUUGAUGUAAUGUGGUCAAGUAAUUAGCGCAUACGGUGGAUGCA